UUUCUCCCUAAACCAACAGCCCUAACCAAACAACCUCUUCAACCAUCGCCGCCACCCCACCCCCCAUCACGUCACUUCCGUCACCUCACCACCACCGCUUCCAUCGGACCACCGAACCAAACAGCCUUCUCUCUCUUAAAUCGAAAAACAUUGAAAUCCGUUGGUUUGAAGCUUUCAUCGCCUCUACUGCUACCACGUCUCCUUUCCCUUUGAUUGACGUGGUGGCAGAGCCUAAGGGGUCCAAUAGGAGGUCGUUUCAACCUCUGUAGAAGAGGAACGCGAUGAACCGCUGGUUUCAAGUUCGCCUCUCCUUCGACCCGGUGGGUAUAAGUUCGUUCAGCCCUCAGGCCCGAAAACCAUGGAGAAAUCUCCAUAUUCGGAGUCCCAACGAAUCUCCAGCCAUCAAAUCCUAUCUGAAAAGGUGAUUCUUUUCCUUCUGACCAUAAUUUUAUCUUUUUCCAGUCAUUAAAGAUUUCCCUUUUUUUAUCUCUCUUUCAAAAUUCAAAUUCAGCUUUUUUGAGGGAGCCGUUAACCCCAUCCUUUGGUUAUAAAUAGAGCUCGUCUUAGGCUGUUGAGAUAGGCAGAGAACUGGAGAGAAAACUUUGAUUUACUUUAAAGUUGAAUUGCAAACCCUUUUAUUUUCAUAAGCCUUCGUAACUAAUAAAAUCCGUAGUUCUUCCUAAGUUCUCAGAAAAUCCUGUUUUAACUCUUAAGUUCUUUUGGCUGUAUAAUUUUGGUUGUUCCUGGCUAAGCAAGGACUGUUUGGAGCGGAUUCGGAGACUCGACGAUGACAUUAGCCUCAGUUCGCUGUCUCGAAGAAGAUCGUGGGCAGCUCGAAUCAUAGGUUGGAUUUAGCUUGAGUUUGGAUCGUAUUGGAGAGCGUUUGAGGUACGGACGCACAGCCUGGUGAUCCACCUGUUUAGGACACCCUUUGUGCUAUUCGGAGUGCUCCUCUCUUUCCGGAGCUUAUACUUUUGGUAUAUAUAUAUUUAUUAGUGCAUUUGUAUAUAUUCGUUCAUGGGUACGGCGGGGCCCUGUCCCGUCAUAUGAUUCUGUCGGUCUGUUUAGAGGUCUGUGGACAUGUUUGUGGGUUAGGGUCUUUCUGUAUGGAUAGGUGUAUAUGUUGUUUGGGCGAUCCCAUACGCCGAGGCGGCCGGUCCGCAUAUGUUUAUACGUUGCUUUGCUAGCCCUGUGUGGCCUUUGUUGGUGUUUGCUGUGUACAGGGUUAUUUUGGAUAGUCUGUAAAACAGAGGAAACUCUGCCGAAAUUUUUCUGGGAGUUGUCUAAAUUUAGAA